CGACUUUUCCAUCUCCUUUUUGAACACUUCUUCACCGCAGAGGAGUGCACCAAUGCAAUGGCUUUCGGACGACAUGGCAAGAUACCAGAGGGGAAGCAGCUGCUUGACCAAAGCAAAGUUGAUGGAAUUCUGACCUAUGUGAGGCGGUGUGCAACGAUGGAGAACUGGAAACCAGUAGAGGAGGCCAAGCUUAAAAAGGCCCUCAUAAAUAAAUGCCAUCACAGGUCAGUACAGUGACUGGCUUUACAGGCAUAAUGUUU